AACUUUUUCUCGUGUGAAUUAUGUGGCGCACAAGAUGGAUAAGCUUGAAGGCAAAAGAGAUAAGUUAUCCAUUCAAAUUCAAACAUGCUUUGAAUUUGAAUGGUUAACUAAUCAGCUUUAUCCAUCCAUAUGGUGCACAAAAGUGGGCGUGAGAAGGGCUUUGCACGAGAAAAAAUUCAUGAGAAGUUUCUUCUCGUGAAUUCAAAUGGGCGCAG
rnacentral:lncRNA from 1 species